GCCUCCAUAGCUCAGUGGCCAGAGCGCCCGCCUUGUAAGCGGAAGGUCGAGGGUUCGACUCCCUCUGGGGGCU
rnacentral:tRNA from 1 species